AUCUGGCCCAGAUGCUCUUUAAAAUUCAGGUUUGUCAUCCACCGCAGUAGAUGGCAGCAUUGCGUCGCUUCAAAUUUUGAGAUCAGCACAGUUUUUCAGUGGAAGAUAAAGAUUCGGUGAGCACUGUCGGAUUGUCAUCGUGAUGACAAGGAAGAGAAACGACAUCGCGGUGGAAGUGGGACAAGUGAAGGCCACUGUUCAGAUUGAGUCAAAAUGAAAAUGUCAAAUUUAGCUGUCAUAAGCCCCCUCUCGGUCUUAUUUCAUAGUUGAAGUGGCCAUCAAAG